rnacentral:rRNA from 1 species
GGCCCUUAUAGGUGGGGCUACACACGUCAUACAAUGGCCGGUACAGAGGGUAGCCAACCCGCGAGGGGAGCCAAUCCCAACAAAGCCGGUCGUAGUCCGGAUCGCAGUCUGCAACUCGACUGCGUGAAGUCGGAAUCGCUAGUAAUCGCGGAUCAGCAUGUCGCGGUGAAUACGUUCCCGGGUCUU